AGAAUUAAUAAUUGCAAUUCAUGAUUAAAUUUAUUGCCUUCUCUUAAACAUGAGAUAAAUGAAUAUGCAUGUACACUGAAUCACAAUAAAUCAUACACUACAUACUACUUCAGUCAUGCCAUUCUUCUGCUUAUAAUAAAAAAGAUUAAAAAAGAGAAAUGCAUAUUUUUAAAAUAUCAACUAUAAAACACUGCAAGUCCAAUGUUUGACAAAAUGCUACGAUUGUUCAUGACAUUCAUAAAAUACAAAGCCAGCUAUUCAUUAACAACAUUGUCCUAUGAUCAAAUUUAAAAUCUAGCAUUAAAAACCAACUCAAGUUAUACAAAAUCCUUUAACAUUAAUCGCUUUAAUUGCAGAAAAUAAUUUCAUAAACUGUCAGCUACAUAGUACACAAAUCUUACCGUUCUAAUUAACGAUUCAUUAAUAAAUGUACAAUCUUUUCCCGAAAUAGUUUGGCCAUUUUCAGACGGACAGACGAAAGUUACGAGAAAAACAUAGUAUUACAUAUACUCCUUAGGAGUGUGUUUGAACCUGAGCAGUCCAGCAUUUAAAAAAUUCUGCAAAGGUGCCGCUUCCUGAUCACACGAGGACGUAAUUCACGCGAGAGUUGUGUAAUCCCGACACGAGUCCCGUAACGGAGGGAGCUUUAUAAGCAGGUGCUCGGAAGAACUCCUCACUUCGAGUCCAAAGUCGCCAAUCACAACCAUCCAAAAUGAACAAAAUUGUCCUCUUUCUUGCUAUCCCAUGCGUCAUUGCUAUUGCUCUGAGCGCCAUGGAGGUAGAAGGCUUCGUGUACGGGAUGCAGACCCCAAUGUUCGGAGCCCAGCAGCAGGCGUACAGAAGCCAACAGCUGCUUGCUAUCGCCCAGAGAAACCGACUGAACAACCUGGCUCGUGUGUCCGAAUUCAGCAAAUUCGUAAACUACAUCCCUCUCGUGCUGUUGUUGACCACCCUAACCAACACCUCAUCCAUCCCCAUCAUCGGUUAAACACUCAAUAGAAAGAGGAACCUUUGGUCUACCAUCUGAAAGGUGAAAUGGAUUUUUAUCUGCGACCGACCAAAGAAAUAACAUCUUCACUCUGAGGACAAGGCAAAGAAUGCCCUCUCUUGUUCAUGAUUAAAGAAAUAAAUUAUAAUAAAUAUGAUCUUAU